AUGUUCAGAUAGCCAUGCACGUCUAAGUACAAACUAAAUGAUGGUGAAACUGCAAAUGGCUCAUUACAACGGUUAUGAUGUACCCGGGAGUUCCGAUGGAUAUUUCCAGUAACACUAGAACUAAUACAUGUCCCUGCGUUUAUUAGUUUCGCACAGUCCGUCGCUGAGUCAUGGUAAACAGUUGAUCGACUCGACGUCCCGGAACAGUUUCCGCCCCAUCAGCUUCGAUGGUUGGGUAUUGGCCUACCAUUGCAACAACGGGUAACGAGGAAUUAGGGUUUGAUUUCGGAGAGGGAGCCUGAGAAACGGCUACCACAUCUACGGAUGGCAGCAGGCGCGCAAAUUACCCAAUGCAGACACUGUGAGGUAGUGACGAGAAAUAAUAAAGCGGGACUUCUGUUUCGCUAUUAUAAUGAGGAAUAAUCAAAGGUCAUUCCGAUUAGCAACUGAUGGGAAAGUCUGGUGCCAGCAGCCGCGGUAAUACCAGCGUCAGUAGCAUA
rnacentral:rRNA from 1 species